rnacentral:rRNA from 1 species
GUCUUUUUGUAUUUUAUUUAAAGUCUAGCGUGCCCACUGAAAUUAUUUUAAAUGGCCGCAGUAAUUUGACUGUGCAAAGGUAGCAUAAUAAUUAGUUUUUUAAUUAAGAGCUAGUAUGAAAGGUUGGACGAAGUAAAUUCUGUCUCUAUUUAAUUUAAAUUAGAAUUUAAUUUUUAAGUUAAAAAGCUUAAAUGUUUAUAAAAGACGAGAAGACCCUAUAGAGCUUUAUAUUUUUAAUAAUAUAAUUAUAUUAAGAUUUAAUUAUUUUUUAUUAUUAAAAUUAUUUUAUUGGGGUAAUAGAAAGAUUUAAAUAAUUCUUUUUUAUUAUUUAUAUUUAUUUAUAGAAUUAUUGAUCCAAUUUUAUUGAUUAUAAGAUUAAGUUACCUUAGGGAUAACAGCGUAAUUUUUUUGAAGAGUUCUUAUCGAUAAAAAAGUUUGCGACCUCGAUGUUGGAUUAAAGAUUAUUUUUGGUGUAGAAGUUAAAAAUUUUGGUCUGUUCGACCAUUGAAUCUUUACAUGAUCUGAGUUCAGACCGGUGUAAGCCAGGUCGGUUUCUAUCUUUAUUUUUGUAUAAUAUUUUAGUACGAAAGGACCAAAUAUUAAAUAUAUUAAUAUUUAUAUAUUGAAUAUUAUUAAUUAUUUUGGCAGAUUAGUGUAAUGAAUUUAGAAUUCAUAUAUGUAAUUUUUAUUACAAAUAAUACUUGUUUUAUAUAGAUAUAAUUUUUUCUAUUGUUUGUUUAUUAUUAUUAGUAAUUUGUGUAUUAGUAGGAGUUGCUUUUUUAACAUUAUUAGAGC